rnacentral:rRNA from 12 species
ACCUCCAAUCAGUCAAGAAUACCCGCUGAAUUUAAGCAUAUUAUUAGGCGGAGGAAAAGAAACUAACCAGGAUUCCCUCAGUAACUGCGAGUGAAGCGGGAGAAGCUCAGACUGAAAAUCUUCGGAAUUGUAGUCUGGAGAAGCAUGGUCAGCCGAUGGUCUCGGGCAAAGUCUUCUGGAAAGGAGCGCCUUGGAGGGUGACAGCCCCGUUCAUGCCUGAGACUAGAAGCGUACGACCUGCUUUCUACGAGUCGAGUUGUUUGGGAUUGCAGCUCUAAGUGGGUGGUAAAUUCCAUCUAAAGCUAAAUACUGGCGAGAGACCGAUAGCGAACAAGUACCGUGAGGGAAAGAUGCAAAGAACUUUGAAAAGAGAGUCAAAGAGUGCUUGAAAUCGGUAGGAGGAAACCCGGAUGGGCCC